AAUAUUGGCAAUGGGGCGAGCCUGAUCCAGCAAUGUCGCGUUGGGAAGGAGGCCGGAGGGUUGUAAAGCACUUUCAAUUGUGAGGAAGAGUUCGCAUAUAAUAGAUGUGAGCUUUGACGUUAACUUAGAAGAAGCACCGGCUAACUCCGUCCAGCAGCCGCGGUAAUACGGAGGGGCAAGCGUUAAUCGGAAUUACUGGGCGUAAAGCGCGCGUAGGCGGUUAAUUAAGUCAGAUGUGAAAUCCCCGGGCUCAACCUGGGAAGGCCUCUGAUACUGGUUAACUAGAGUUGGAAGAGGGGAGUAGAAUUUCAGGUGUAGCGGUGAAAUGCAUAGAGAUCUGAAGGAAUACCAGUGGCGAAGGCGACUCCCUGGUCCAGAACUGACGCUGAGGUGCGAAAGCGUGGGUAGCAAACGGGAUUAGAUACCCCGGUAGUCCACGCUGUA
rnacentral:rRNA from 1 species